UCACAGUGUUGAGCGAGCGGUGCGGAGGAACCCGGUGCGAUUCCGGGGCGGUCCCGCCACUGUCACCGGGUAGCAAACCCUCACCUGAUGGUCACGGCCCAUUGCGGGCUGGAAGGCCGAGGGGAUGCGUCGAUCCGGGAGCCAGGACACUCGGCCGCUCGCCGUAGAACCAU
rnacentral:ncRNA from 2 species